GGGCGCGUGGUUUAGUGGUAUAAUAUUCCCUUAGCACUUAGCGUGGGAAUGGUCCUGGGUUCGAUUCCCAGCGCGUCCA